CCUACGGGGGGCAGCAGUGGGGAAUAUUGGACAAUGGGGGCAACCCUGAUCCAGCAAUGCCGCGUGUGUGAAGACGGCCUGCGGGUUGUAAAGCACUUUCAGUAGGGAAGAAAAGCUCGGGGCUAAUACCUCCGGGUCUUGACGUUACCUAAAGAAGAAGCACCGGCUAACUCCGUGCCAGCAGCCGCGGUAAUACGGAGGAUGCGAGCGUUAAACGGAAUUAGUGGGCGUAAAGCGCACUCAGGUGGGUAAGCCCUGGGCUUAACCUGGGAACUGCAUUCGGUACUGCCCGGCUAGAGGAUGGGAGAGGGAAGCGGAAUUUCCGGUGUAGCGGUGAAAUGCGUAGAUAUCGGAAGGAACACCAAUGGCGAAGGCAGCUUCCUGGCCCAAUACUGACGCUGAGGUGCGAAAGCGUGGGGAUCAAACAGGAUUAGAUACCCUAGUAGUC
rnacentral:rRNA from 1 species